AAGACUGAAUUGAGUGCAUAGUACCUUCUUAGACAUCUAUCCAGGAAAGGAUAAGAAAGUUUAUCUGCUUUUUUUCUUUCCUAAAUGGCAAAAAGCCCAGACUUUUUUGUUACCAUUCCAUGAUAAACAUUUGUCUCUCCAGUCACCCAGAUUCAUGAUUCAUUUGUUAGGGGCUUAGCGGGCACAUUUUGGCCAGCAACCUUCCAUGUGCCCAUGUCGGGCCUUGAGUGAGUUCUGUACAGAGGAAGUCGCCUUUUGACCAUACAAGAGCAUGUGUAUGGGAUUUCUAACUAGGAGCAGCUUAGCAAUGAGAUAGGUAUGCAGUACAGGAAGGGCCUAAGGAGGCACCUCGCCCAUGAAUUACCAUGGGAGCCACACUGAGCAUUGAGUCCUUGGCUGUGAACCACAGUUGCAAACCAGAAGCACUGUAGCUGCAUUGUUCUAUCAUCUCUCUUUAUGCGUUGGAUAGGAGAGAUGUGGCUGCUUUACGAUGCCAUCACUGCUUGGAACACAUUUGAAGCAAGUUUGGAAUCAUUGCACCACCUGACGACUGUGUGCUUACCUGAUUUCAUCAUGAUUCACCCUGGUCUCUUGAAUUUUGCAGGUUCACUAUUUAAUAGCCUCAUUGUUUAAAAAUAAGAUGAGUCUUCCAUUCCUACAGAAUCUAAAAAUCUGCAUAAAACAUCUGCCCUGCUGCCUUCCCUCCUUACCUUUACCACACUUGUUGGAACUCAAGCUCUCACAUCCAAGGGAGCGAUGGUGCAGAACAAUAACUGUAUGAAAUUUGAAAAUAAUGUAAAUAAAGGGAAAGUGAAGAGGCUCUAAAAUAAAGGAUCAAAACCGUGUCUUUUUUACUUUUUAUGUUUCUUAUUUCAUUCAUUCCUUCUAUGAGUAAUUAUCAAGUACCUUAUAUGUGGAAGGGAGGGGACAUGACAGAAAGGAGAUGAUUUUAAGCACAGACUACUUUGGGAGGGUGGCUGGGCCUGGAUAGUGUGCCAAUAAACGUAAUUUAAAGCAGGAAAUGAGUAGAGCAUACUCCCCGAACUGAGCAGUGGCAACACUCAGGUAAGAGAGGAAAAAAAUAUAAAGUGAAAAUAUAUUGCCUAUGCCAACAUUUUAUUCAUAGCCAGCCUUAAAGGAAAGAAGUAAAUGUGUGUUCCCUACCUCCUUCCUCCCUGAAGUCAGAGCUCUGUCUCAAAUAUAAUAGCCACAGUGCAACUUAAUUAUACAGUCAGUGGGUUUCAGGUGGAGUGAGGCUAUGAUUUGAAAUAUUUUUCUGUGAGAAAGUAUGUUUAAGAGCCAAACCAUUUACAAGCAAAUUUUGAGGGCUGUGUGUAUCUACAUGGACUCAUGUUUAUUUGUUUGUUUUCCAUUUCUUAGGACUUAAUAUAACUGUGUUUUUAACUAUACAACCAUAUAGAGUUUAACUAUGUAUGUAAAGGCAGGCUGAAUAUGUGGUAAAAUUUCUUUCUUCAUAGUUAAAAUUUCAAUAUAUAUUUACGGCCAGUAUCUUUCCAUCUAUAAUAGACAUAAAAUGAUUUUUUGUGGGGUUUUCAAGCAUGGGAUUAUUUUUAUUCUAAAUAUUCACUAAGAAUAUAUUAAAUAAUGCAUUUAAAGUGUUUUCCUCCUGAGUUUAAAUUUGUGGUAGAAUUCUUCCUCAAACUUAACUUAGAAUUCACCUAAUCUUUCUUUGGGUGAAAUUUUCAAAGCAGUGAAAGGAAUACUUUUUUUCCAACUCUGUACCAAGAUUAUUCUGAGUAACAUUACAUAUUUAAAUUCUCUUGACUAAUUUUAAAAUGAUUUGCUGAGAGAUCCGCUUAAUUACUUGAGAAGAAUCAUUAACUCCGAGGUAGCUAUGCUAUGACAUGGAUAAGAUUCUUGUUACAUUCUUCUCCUUCUCCAAAAUUUCUCAGACCCAAACACUUUAUCCAAUUUAAUCGCUUUUGGGGGAAUUACACCUAGAGACUUUAUCGUUAGUUUUUAUGGGACCUGAGUCUAAAGAGAAAAAUUAGUAUGGCUGUUCAAAUCUGAAUUAAUAUUGUUGAGAUUCCAGUGGCAACACAACCGCUAUUUUGGAAUAUCUGUUGUGACUUUAGUCAUGAAGAUCGAGUGCAAAAUAUAAUCACAUUUCAUAAAACGUCACAGACAGAGUUCAUUUUGGGUUGCAGUUGUGGUUCCGAUUUGUAUUUUUAUGGAUACACAUUUAAUAGCAGAGUAAAUGUCCAGUAUAACUGACAUUCUGAGAAAAAGAAUUAACUGAGAGCUUUCUCAAGUUUUAUGAGUAGAAAAAUCCCAAGAGAAUCAAGCUAUCCCAGAAAUGUCAUUAACAUAUUAAGGUAGACAUCCGUACUCACUCUGCCCAGCUUGGAGAGGUACCUCACUGAGUAGUGUCCAUCAGAGGAGUGACUCAUAAAUCAGAACUGCAUUUUCAUGCAAAUUACUUAAAGUUUCUAGGCCUUGAUUUCCACAUAUGUGAUAGAAAUAAACAGUACCAGUAUCAAGCUAUUUUGAGGAUUCAACGAGAUCCUGGACAAAAAGCAUCCAAGAAGUGGCUGGGAGACAGCAGCUCUUCAGUAAAUGGUAGCUGUGUGACUGUAUAUACCAGGAAGAGAAAUGCUGAGCAAUAAUGAGCAAGUCAAUCACCACAGCUCUGUGAGUCUUGGCCCUGAAUCCUGAAGAACUUAUGGAAUUGAAAAGCGUCGUCCUCCACUGUAUAGCACAGGGAACUAUACUCAAUAGUUUGUAUAACCCAAAAGGGAAGAGAGUCUGAACACUGUGCUGUACCCCUGAAACUAACACGAUAUUGUAGAUCAAGUGUACUUCAAUUAAGAAAAAGAAAUUAAAUUUGAAAAAAAGCAUGGCAAUUUCAAUGACUAGUGUGUAUGCGCGUGUUUGUGUGAGGGUGGGUGGAGGUGUGUAUAGGGAAGACAUGUUAUGAUAUAUGAGGGUUGAAGUCCGGUUUUGUUUCCUUUCACUCAACAGGCAAAAGAGUCUCAUGUUCACAACCUCUUCCUUCCUAGUGCUUAUCUGAAGCCUUAAGUCUAGCUUCUCCAAGUGUACGUGAUUGGUAAUGGGAAUUAAUCAUGUAACUAGACUCUGAACAUGUGUCAGCUAAUUCUUUACGCUUCUUGGGUCUAGAAAUGUUUUGACUUUAUUAAAAUCCUACUUUCUGAAGAAAGCACUGAGAAAUACAUUGUUGGAGAAUUUAAGGAAAGCUACUGGGUGUCAUCUUUAGGGACUUUUGUGUAAGUUAUCCUUGUAGACUUCUGGACACCUUUUUGCACACAGGCCAGUCCUGUGGCUUCUCUGUUGUUUCCAGGGUCCUAGUCAGCUAAAGAUGAGGCUGUACUAUUUAAUCAUAACAGCCUAGAUUGACCUUAUUCUUUAGUUAUGGGAUAUGACUAGGAAAGUAUGCUAUGAGCCCUGCUGAUAUCUACAUAUUCAUAUCCAGUUAAAAUUCAGUAACUUAUAAUUUAUCCACAGAAAAAUAAUUGGAAGAAAAGCAAUAUGAAGGAAGGAAUUCACUGCAGUGUUAUUUAUAGUAACACUGGAACUUGUUGAACUUAACAGGAGGGAAAUAGUUGAAUAAAUAUUAAAGCAGGUCAAUGAAAUAUUACAUAGUUGCUAAAGUAAUAAUUAUGAACAUUAUGUAAUAACAUGAAAAUGUCAUGAUUUAAUGCUAAUUGAAUAAAAGAGAACAAAGAUCACAUUACCUCAUCAUUAAAACUUCAGAAACUAUGUAAGCAUGAAUAAAUACUAGGACUAAAGACUGCAAAUUAUGUACUGUGACAGUGGAAAGUAUAGAUGUUCUUCUUUUUUAUUUUAUAUAUUGUCAUAAUUUCGCUUAUACAACUGAAACAAGUAUUCAGUAAGAAAUAAAUAAUUGAACAUGAUCCACAAAGUACACAGUACUAUACAAAAUAUGUUCAGGUAUAACUUUGUAUAUUAAGGUUUAACUUGGUUCUAUUUAUAUUAAUAAUUCAUGAAUAUUUCAGUACAUGGUUACUUUUGUCGUUGAAAGUAAGGUAGUGAAUUAGGAAUACAAGGCAUGGCAUGUUUCCUCAAAAAAGCCACUAACUGACCAUUUAAUUUGAAACGACUUAUUGCUCUGAAACUGAAUUUUCUCAAUUCUUGUAAAACUCAAGAAUUGGAAUGGAAGGUUUUUUUCUAUUAACUUUCCUAUCUAAAGUUCUGUGAUAGAUACUGAGCUUACAGUUCUUUAUUCAAGCCCUAUUGAAUGUUUACUUCCCCUAUUCAGGCACUACCUUGCAUGCUAACAGUACUAUUAAUUACUGUUAUGGUAUUAAUUCAGAACACCUGGUGAAAAUGUGAUUUAGUUAAAUCCCAAAUGAUUGUAAAUGUUAUCUACCAUUAUAAACUUCUUCCCAACUCCCUAUCAAUCCUAGAAAUUUUAUCUUUGGUGUUAUACAUGGUAAAAAUUAUAUACAGGGAGUUCCAGUGGUGGCUCAGCGAUAACAAACGGACUAGUAUCCAUGAUGUUGCAGGUUCAAUCUCUAGCCCCGCUCAGUGGGUUAAGGAUCCAGCAUUGCCAUGAGCUGUGGUGUAGGUUGAAGAUGAGGCUCGGAUCUGGCAUUGCUGUGGUUGUGGUAUAGGCUGGCGGCUGGCAUCUCCAAUUUGGCCCCUAGACUGGGGACUUCCAUAUGCCACAGGUUUGGCACUAAACCUGUGGCAUAUGGAAGUCAGUAUUUUUCUACAUACAUGCUUCUUCUCUUUUUUUCCCCCUUGGCUGCACCCACAGCGUUUGGAAGUUCCCAGGCCAGGGGCUGAAUCUGAGCCACAGCUGCAACCUAUGCCACAGCUGUGGCAAUGAAGGAUCCUUAACCCACUACGACCCGCCAAAGGAUUGAACCUGCACCACAACAAAGACAUUGCCAGAUUCUUAACCUGAUGCACCACAGCGGGGACUUCCAAACUUCUUUUUAAACUUCAACAUAGCAGUUCCCAUAGUGGCGAAGUGGAAAUGAAUCCAACUAGGAGCCAUGAGGUUGCCGAUUUGAUCCCUGGCCUCACUCAGUGGGUUAAGGAUCUGGCGUUGCCAUGAGCUGUAGGCUGCAGACACAGCUCAGAUCUGGUGUUGCUGUGGCUCUGGAAUAGGCCGGUAGCUGUAUCUCCAAUUAGACCCCUAGCCUGGGAACUUCCAUAUGCCAUGGGUGUGGCC
rnacentral:lncRNA from 1 species